GAAAAAUUUAGCUAUUAUUAUUGCUGCUGGUGUGUUUGGUGCUGCUGCUUCUCUGUUGUUGGGCUUUGGGGCUUGGUAUUGGUAUUUUACCAAGGCGGGGAAAAGGAGGAAGAUGGGGUAUGGAUUAGGGAGAGUUGACUCGGAAAGGUGGGCGGAUAAGUUGAGGGCUCAUAGGCUUACUCAGGUUACGUUGUUUAAGAAACCGCUUGUGAAGGUUAAGUUGGCGGAUUUGAUGGCUGCCACUAACAAUUUUAGUUCGUCGACUGUGAUAAACUCGACUAGGACGGGGACUACGUUUAGAGCUGUUCUGCGUGAUGGUUCUGCGCUUGCUAUUAAACGGCUUAAAGCUUACAAGCUAAGUGAGAAGUUGUUUCGAAUGGAGAUGAAUGGGCUAGGACAAGUUCGGCAUCCUAAUUUGGUGCCACUUUUGGGCUUUUGUGUUGUUGAGGAGGAAAAGCUUUUGGUUUAUAAGCACCUGUCAAAUGGUACUUUGUAUUCAUUAUUGAAAGGGAACACAAGUAUGUUGGAUUGGCCUACUAGGUUUAAGAUUGGCUUGGGUGCUGCAAGGGGCCUUGCUUGGC
rnacentral:misc_RNA from 1 species